rnacentral:misc_RNA from 1 species
GGAAGAUUGAUUGUACAACACUUUUAUCCGAAAAUGGUUCCAAUUAAGCCAAACAACACAUGCAUGCAUGGGGAAGCCACCACUGUAGGCAAAAAUCUUUCUGCCGAAAGCCCUGGCUGUGGCUGCUUCUUGUUCAAUUAUUCUUCGCCUCAGAUCAGACCAGACCAGGACCAGACAGUGGAGCACGCCUUCGCCUCAUCCAUGUUUGUUAAUUUCCUGCUAGCUGUAAUGGAUUGCAAUGCGAGAACCAUUAUUUGUCAUUCCACUCACAUGCAUCAUCAGCACCUGAGGGGACUUUUUUUUCUUUCUCGUCUCUCAUUGAGUUUUAUUGGGAAAACUACACAUGAAUAAGUAAAAUUUCAAGCAGCCUGCAAAAAAGCAUUGUUGCUGCAUGCAGUCCGGUCAU